AUUGAACGCUGGCGGCAUGCUUUACACAUGCAAGUCGAACGGUAACAGGCCGCAAGGUGCUGACGAGUGGCGAACGGGUGAGUAAUGCAUCGGAACGUGCCCAGUCGUGGGGGAUAACGCAGCGAAAGCUGCGCUAAUACCGCAUACGAUCUAUGGAUGAAAGCGGGGGACCGUAAGGCCUCGCGCGAUUGGAGCGGCCGAUGUCAGAUUAGGUAGUUGGUGGGGUAAAGGCCCACCAAGCCGACGAUCUGUAGCUGGUCUGAGAGGACGACCAGCCACACUGGGACUGAGACACGGCCCAGACUCCUACGGGAGGCAGCAGUGGGGAAUUUUGGACAAUGGGCGCAAGCCUGAUCCAGCAAUGCCGCGUGCAGGAAGAAGGCCUUCGGGUUGUAAACUGCUUUUGUACGGAACGAAACGGUCCUGUCUAAUACAUGGGGCUAAUGACGGUACCGUAAGAAUAAGCACCGGCUAACUACGUG
rnacentral:rRNA from 1 species